ACUCCCAGCGACUCCGUCGGAAGAUUUCGCGUAGACUGCGAGUCGCGCGGUGCUCCCACGCUCGUUUCGUUUUCAACUCGUUGUGGAACUACAGGAACGUUCAACCGUGCCGUUCCAAAGACCAGUUCUCGUGCAUCGAAUAGUUUGAAGGCUUAACACGGGAUUGCAGGUCCUAAUGAAGGUCUUGAAAUCUCGCGAGAGUUCAUGGAUUUUUCCGCUUGAAGUCAUGUGUAAAUCUAAUCAGCUCGGCAUUGCAGAUAUUUGAUAAUUAGCACGGAGUUGUGAACACAAUUACUCCAAAGGCACGAUAAGCUUAUAUAAAUACGUUUAUGCAGACGGGUACCAAUUGUAAUGAUUCAAACGUAUAAUU